GGCGGUUCUUGGGUGACGCACCCCGGAAUCGGGCUCCCACAUCUCUGGUUCCGGCUAUGUCACACAAGAACCACA
rfam:Myotis brandtii contig259648, whole genome shotgun sequence.